UACGGAGGGAGCUAGCGUUGUUCGGAAUUACUGGGCGUAAAGCGCGCGUAGGCGGCUUUGUAAGUUAGAGGUGAAAGCCCGGGGCUCAACCCCGGAAUUGCCUUUAAGACUGCAUCGCUUGAAUCCGGGAGAGGUGAGUGGAAUUCCGAGUGUAGAGGUGAAAUUCGUAGAUAUUCGGAAGAACACCAGUGGCGAAGGCGGCUCACUGGACCGGUAUUGACGCUGAGGCGCGAAAGCGUGGGGAGCAAACAGG
rnacentral:rRNA from 1 species